CACAUGAAUCUGGACUAGGUUUUUAGUCAGUUGUCUCUUGCUUAAUGCUGCUAUUAAUUGUUGACAGGAAUGGAAUAUUGCUACUUCAACGGAAUGCAAGUGCAAUUACUUUAGAGUUCUGCAAACCUCCAACAAAGAAAGCUAAGGAAGAAGCGAGAGUGCUAAAAAACAGGUAAAGGAAAUUAAUUCAUCUGGGAAAACUCUAAAUGAGAGUAUGUGAUGGAAACACGCCAAGGCUACAAAGAAGCAACAGGUGAAAAAAAACGCAUCUGAAGAGAAGAUGAGAAGAAACUGGAAGAGAAUUUGAACAAGUUAGAUGACAGGACUGCAGUUCACAAUGACCCAGAGAAACAGGUUCAAAACCUAGAUGCAUGAAACACAUUCCCAGAGCGGGAUCCAGCAGUGGCCAUUAGCUGUGAGGGGAACAGGAUCAUCUGCUGUGAAAGGAGGCAAUCAAUGGGUGGAGGCAUCAGCCGGACAUAUCAGGAUUAAAGGAUUAAAGCUACUGGCUCUGGUAUGCAGUCCCCUAAGAACCAAAACAAAUACAAAUCCCAGCGUUUCUACCAAAGCGGAUGAAAACAGAAAUGAAGAAAAUUAGUCAUCCACUAGGCUGAUCAGGGAAGUAUUAACAAGAAGACUGAAAUCACACCUUGCCCCUCUUCUCUGUUAUUUACCUCCCUUGGCAGUAACCAUGCAAGAGAGGGUCACAAACAAAAUUCUCCUUAUUCCAGCAACAGUGCACAAGGUUCUGCUGAAGGAUUCCUUUAGGAGCAAGGGAUUUUCUUAUUUUCAAGAUGAAAAUGGGGGCAAGCAAGUGCUCAGUGCACAGACAGGGGCUGAGUGAAAUACUUUGGCUGAGGUAACAUGUUUAAAGUGAAGCUUACAACUUAACGUGUCUAAGAGUUGCACAUUUUUCACCAAACGUGAUCAUUUCAUUGGUAGGUACCCA